GCGCCCGUAGCUCAGUUGGAUAGAGUGGCAGCCUCCGAAGCUGCAGGUCGCUGGUUCGAAUCCAGUCGGGCGCGCCA
rnacentral:tRNA from 5 species